CAAUUGGAAAGCACCGUCAUAGAUAUGGCGUCACCCUUCCCUUUAAACAUGGUUUUGUGAAGUGUCUCCACCUAUGUUAAUCAAUUUGCAGUCACCGUAUUUGCGUUUGAAAGGUAACUAUUUUGGGCUUCUUUUAUGCUUCUCGGUUCAAAAAACCUCAAGUGCCUCAAAAAGCGAAAAGACGUCCAUGGGUGGGCUUGAACCACCAACCUUUCGGUUAACAGCCG